AAAGAGUAGAAAGCAGCCAGUAACCCACUCGUUAUUAAAAGCCUUUCUUUUUCAAUCAUUUUAUACAGAUUAAAAACCGAUGGGGAGGACAACAACAGGGAGGAACAGUACAGUACACAUUUAAAUCAACAAAUAAGUAAAUGACAGACACAUUAGUCAUUAACAAAUGGAAGUAAUGAGGCGUAGUAACGUUGCUUUAAAAAAGCCAGUAGAAUAGAAAAGAUGAGUCUGUGUUUUGCGGAGGCGGGGCGUCGCUGUGUGGUAAAAUAGGCUAGUGUAUGUCGUCGUAGCUCUGAUUCCCAUAAGAGGUUAAGUAAUUCAUAACCCUGCCGUGUUCGAGAACACCAACAACCCUCCUUGUGUCUCGUAACGAUGCCAAGGUGCCCAGAACUCAGCAUGCACAGAAGGGCUUCUUCUCAAUCACGCCGAAAAUGAUCGGACUGGUAUCCAGCGUGAGGUGGCGCUACGGGGAGCCCGGAACACUACUUGUAGAGCUCCAAUUUGGUUCGAGCUACACAGUGGUUUUAUUACGCCUCAGAUGGAUAAUCACAUGACUACAGAGAGACGUGAUGUGGGGCAGUAUAACGUAGUGUUUUUACAGAGGCUUCGAUUCGAUGGGCUGUAACACAAUGCCUCUACAAAGACAGUAUGGACUUCUGGGAGUUAAAGUAAGAGGGACACAGUGAAGAGCUACAGUUUUCUGCUGCACUGUUCCAUGUAUCGUUAUAUCAGUCUGCCAAACUACCUGCUACAGCGGUGUAAUCAUUCGUUCCACCUACUCUCUCCUACCUCCAGUAUUGUCCAAAACACACAAAACAUUUACAGAGCCUUCAGAAAGUAUUCAUACCCCUUGACUUAUUCCACAUUUUGUUGUUACAGCCUGUAUAAGAAAUACACACUUUUCCCCCCUGACCCAUUUACUCACAAUACCUCAAUGACAAAGUGAACUAAAUGUUUUUAGAAAUGUUAGCAAAUGUAUUGAAAGUGAAAUACAAAAAUAUCUCAUUUAAGUAUUCACACCGCUUGAGUCAAUGUUAGAAUUGCCUUUGGCAGCGAUUACAGUCUUUCUUGGUAAGUCUCUGAGAGCCUUGCACACCUGGAUAGGAUUUUGCCUGAACA
ensembl:lncRNA